ACUCUGCUGAUAGCUUUCAUAAUGCACCCGACUCCCACUUAGUACAACAAUGAACCCACCGAUCGCUCACUCAAGUGUUCUUUCCUUGCAUCCAAACAUCACAUAUACAUAGGCCUACUCAUCUGUCUCUUACUGAGUGAUUCAUUCUGAACGCUGCACAGCUAAAUCACAACAUCUCUACUUUCAUACUCUCCCGGCUAUCUCAGUUUUCCAAGCUUUUCAUGCUUCACCUUUCAAACCUGCCUCAGUGUACAAGAAUUGAUAGCUAGAAAUCGAACUCGAAACCCAUCCAUCUUUCUCACAUUUUCACACUCACCCCAUCCAUCCUUCUGUCACUCUGUUGUUCCCUCCUCUGUUAGUUCCUUCCAUUUUUGUUUGGGACAUUCAUUAUUCCCUGCCUCUUCAAAUCUGUGCCAUCUUUGGUUUCCUAAGCUAUGUGACAACUAAUAGUCUGCUCUGCCUCAGUUUCUUCAUUUUGAAGUGAGAAUAAUAGGAGCACUUACCUCACACUUAAUAAGAUAAUAUUAGUAAAGUGCUUAUCACAGUGCCUGACACAUAGUAGGUUCUUAAUAAAUGCUUAUUUCCUUUUCCUCCUCUUCCCUUUUUUUCCUCUUUCCUUUCCUUUCCUUCCAUUCCUUUUUGGCCCUCUUAUAUUCUAUGUACAUUUGUAGAGUUGACUCUGCCAUCGUAGAAGAAGAUAAACCGGGUUCCUCCAUAUGAUGUCAGUGUUUGUUGUGGGAAGUUCUGUAUCUGAUUGACAAACAUAUCGAAUUAUGUUCCCACUCACUAAUUAUGAAAUACAAAUGAAAACACCGCUUCAAUUUCACAGAUUGGUAAACACGAAAACAAGAGACAAAUGUUAAAUACCUGUCCAAAUGAGUGUGAAAAUCUUGUCAGUGAGGAGAGCUGUGAGGAGCUCUUGGGAUUUGGGGAAACAUUUUGCUAUCAGCAUAUAAGCCAUUAAACCUACAUUUAUACUUGCUAUGUCAACAUUACUCAUAUAAACACACGAUCUAUAGAUCUAUUUUCCAGUUGGACACUCACAUGCAUGUAUGUUCACAUAUCCUACAUAUAUGAAAGAGAAACAAAAAGAAAGUACCCAUCCUUGUGGUAGCAAAGCAGGGGAAGGAAAGCCACAUGGUCUUGAGAAUGGCAGGACAGAUUGUGGUGGGCAGAUGUCAUGGAUUCUCAUUGUUCUGUGAACCAAAACAGAGACAAAUAUUAAGUAUUCAGAAAAAAUUAAGAAGCUUUGGAUAUGGUAGUGCAAAACAAAGUAAGUGGAAAGUAGGAGAGAACUUUACACGAAGGCCACUAGAAUAUUCAAUAAAAUAACACAGGAAAGUUCCGAGUUCUACUCACUGUAGGAACUUGCUCAUGACAGGUCACGUGUGGCUUCUUCCUUCUUCAGAGAGGUAGGGCACAAAUAAGGCCUACAUUGGUAGUCAAGGGCAAUAUAGCGCUUUGUUUUUCUGAAUUGCAAUGGAAUGCCAUUGAAACAUAGGACAACGUCAAUAGGAGGAUUUCAGAGAAUCUUGGGAAAACUCUCCCUUGAUCCUACCAUCCACACUAGAUAUCCCUCCAUUUAUAUAUACUCCUCUACUCUGCUGUGUCCCCCAUCUGUAUCCUUUCAUCUGUCUCUGUGUCCCGGUGUUCAUGUUUGUCUGUGACCCUGUCUUUUCCCACUUGCUCGUGUGUCUGCGUCCAUGUGUCUACAUGCUUCCUUGGUCACCAUCAUUUUCAUCUCUCUGUCUCUUCCUCUUUGGUACAGAUCUCCUUGAUAAAGCCAUCUACAGCUGCUGCCUCCACUUUAUUCACUGUUCCAAACUCUGUCCUCUAGCUUCCAACCUCAUCCUUCCACUAUUUCCUCUAAUGAUCCCCUACUUGCUAAACCCAAUGGCCUUUUCUCAGUCCUCAUCCUUCUUGACCUGUACGUUGCAUUCAGUGCGUUUAAAGAGGCCCCUUUUCCUGGAUAGUCUAAAUGUUUCUGGUUUUUGUAAACUUUGUUCUUUCUUGGUUCUUCUCCUGUCUGUCUCAUCAUUCAUUCUCCAUCUCCUUUGCUGGAUCAUCAUCUAAAUCAUACUUACUAAAUCUGUGCCCCCAAAGCCUUUGCCUUGAGCCAUCUUCUCUUUUCUCUUUCUAAUUGUCAUUUGAUGACUGUGUCAGUUCCCAUGAGUUUAUUGAUCAUAUCUAUAUAAAUGAUUUGGAGAUACCUAUAUUCAGCCCUCGUUUCUCUCCUGAGAUCUAGGAUUACAAAUUACCUAUUUUACAACUGGAUGCCUUCUAGGUAUAUCAGAUUCAACACGUGCAAAACAGAACACAUUUUCUUGCUCUAUCCAUAUGCUCUGUGUCCCUAAUCUGUGUGUCCAGCUUUUCUGGCCACAUGUAUCUCCUGGUUUGUCUAGUUACUAAUUUUUCUAUAUCUUUCACAGGUCUGUGUGUCUCCCAUCUUCAUGUAUCAUCUGUGUAUGUCCCUCUGGCUAGCCACGAGGCUCUCUGAAUAUCCACAGAUUGUCCCAUCUCUUUCCCAAAAUUUGUGCAUCUACCCAGCUUAUUCUUUUAUUUGUCCCUCUCUAUACAUUUACUUUUGUCUGUAAGUGCCCAUUUGUCUGUUCUUCCCUUUGCUUUUGUAUCCUCUUUGUCCAUGUGAAUUCAUAUAUUACCAUAUUCACGCUGUGUAUCUUCAGCUAUAUCCCCCACCUCCUGCCUCUGUUCCCCCAGAUAUUGAAGAGGCCCUCAAGCGAUCCACAUGUUCCCCAGCUGUUUAUAUCCCACCUUAUAUCUGGGCAUAUUUCCCCCAUUUGUCCUUCCAUUUGAAUUGUCUUAGGAAGAUUCUAAAAAUACUUGGCAAGAUAAGGUACCAGAUGCCGAGGUCCUCUCUCGACUUGCUUUGAGCACCAAAGACAAAAGCAAAUCCCCAUCUGUAUUCCCCUUCGGGUGUGCAUCCCUCCAUUUAUAUAUACUCCUCUACUCUACUGUGUCCCCCCCUAUCUUUAUCCUUUCAUCUGUCUCUGUGUCCCAGUGUUCAUUUUUAUCUGUAACCGUGUCUUUUCCCACAUGCUCGUGUGUCUGCAUCCAUGUGUCUACAUGCUUCCUUGGUCACCAUUCCCAUAUGUUCCCUUGUGCUGCUAUGUCCUGUCCCCCUCGCUCAUUUUCCCCAUUUGUGUUUCUCCCAGUUGUCGCUGCCCCAUGUCUAAGCAGCCCUAUUUGAUUCACCAUAUAGAUGUUUCUUUUAGAGCUCUCAUUUAUUUGACAUGUCUUCCAUCUGUCUCUUGGUAUCCCACUACCAGUGUGUGUUUCUCAUCUGUCAUUUCCCUCCAUUUCUCUUUUGUUCUAUCUCUAUUGCCCCUUUGUGUGUCUAUCUGACUCUCCUUCUGCCCAUAGGUCCUCAUCAGUGUGUCUCUGUAUUUACCCUCCCUGCUUCUACGUACGCUCUGUCAGCGUGUAUACCCUCUAUGUUUCUGUGUCUACCCAUGCCUCCUCACCUGGGAUAUUCCUUGUCUUUGGGUCUUCUUUGUUCCCGUCCAUUGUAUACGUCCUCAUCUGAGUCCCACUUCCUUCGUGUAUCCCUGUCUUGUUAUCCGAUGUCUGUUUGUCCUGCUUCUGUUUUUUAAAUAAUAGCUCUAUUUAUCAAAAUAUAUUCAGAGAGUUUUCAACAUGCACCAAAAAACCUUGGGUUCCAAAUUUGUCCCCCUCCCUUCCUCUCCACCUCUCCCUUCCCCUAGAUAGCAAGCAAUCUAAUAUAGAUAAAUCAUGUGUAAUGCUUGUAAACGUCUUUUCAUAAUUAUCAUGCUGCACAAGAAAAAUCACAUCAAAUGGGGAAAAAUGAGAAAGAAAAAAAAACCAAGCAAGCAAAUAACAGUAGCAAAAAAGGAGAAAAUACUUUGAUGUGCUCCCCAUUCAGUCGCAUAGUUCUCUCUGGAUGCAGCCGGCUCUCUCCAUCAUAUGUCCAUAGGAAUUGGCCUGAAUCGUCUCAUUGUUGAGGAGUCAUGUCAUGCUUCUGUUUGUACAUGUCUCUAUGCCCCAUUCUACAUAUCACAUAUGUCUGUUCCCAAUCUGUUUGUUGCCAAAUCCUCCCAUUUAAGCACCUGGUCUACGACUGUCAACCCUUCUUCCUGUCUGUAUGUCCUCCUCUGUAAGGACAUUUCUGUGUUCCCUCCACUCCCCUCUGGUCCAUAGGGAUCACUUUUGUCAGUCUGGGUCUCUGUCUACCAUUUGUCCACAUCACCCUCCUUGGGAGUUCCCUCUGCCCACCUGUGCAUGUCCUGUCUGUUUUGUCCCAUUCUGCCCUCCUCUCUGUCCCUAUGUUUGUGUGCCCCAACUAUACCUUCCCUUAUGUGGAUCUCAUCUGGGUCUCCGUGGCAGUCUGUGUUUCAUCUGUCUCUCCAUUGGUGUGCCCACUCCCUUCUCUAUCUGUCAUGUCUGUGUGGCCCUUGUCUGGUCAUGUGCCCCUUCUUGUGUACGUGAAUGGGCAUGACCCCAUCUGGGUGCAUCUCCUUGUCAGGGCUCUCUGCCUGCAUCUGCUCCUGUUCCUGUAUGUCUCUCCCCCAUUCAUUUCUAUGACCUCCUGUCUUUCUGGGCAUCCUGGCAUCCCCAUGUCUGACUGUGCUGCACCCUACAUUUCAUGCCAAUGUAUGUCUGUUUCUUGGGGUCCUUCUGCCAAGAAACUGUGCUUUUCUUAAAGAAGGCACUUACUAGUAUAUCAGCCUGGGUGACUUCCACACUCCACCCGCGGCCCAUGUGGAGACUGCAGGUCACAAAAGAUCCCAGAUCAUUUUUAUCCCUCUCCCUCCAACUUUUCUCGUGGCUCUCUUCAGUUGGUUGUCUAUCUAUUACUUUGAGUCCUAUCUUUCUUCACAGCCACCCCUGUCCUAACAUUUUCCUGCCUCCCAUCAUCUGUCUCUAAUGUCUGCUUAUCUCUGUGUCCCAUGUACCUCCCUUUCUAUGGACCUAUCCGAGUGGCUCCCUGUCUCCAGGAGCCCUUCUCCCAGCAUGAACAAAGCGGUUUGCAAACCUUAAAUAUUUAUAUAAGUUUGAGAUAUUAUUAUUAUUAUUAUUAUUAUUAUUAUUAUUAUUAUUAUUAUUACUAUGAUUAGCACUCCUUGGAUAUUUCACUCAACACUUCUAAGUUGUUAUCAGCCCAUUCAUGACCGCCACUUUGCCCUGGUCAUCCAAGCACUUGUGAAAGCACCUAAUGAUACCGUCACCUAGUAGCCAUCACUCCCUUUUUCCCCAGAGCAACACAACAUACUCAGGCAAAUAAAAAUACAUGGCGAAAAUCUAGGUAAAUUAUAAAUUACAUCCCCAGAUGAUACAAUCCAGUAACCCUUUUCUCUCUUACCUGAUUCACUUUAUGGGCUCCGGUAUUUUGAACGUUGAAGAUUUGUGACCCCAGAGACCUUAGCAUACCAGGCCCUUCUGUCUGCUAUCUUACAAAGUCUGUCCAAGUUCACGUUUGCUCCUUCCAUGACACUCUCUCAUCUUUGUCACCUCCUGCCAUCCUCUUCUCCUUUUGCCUUCAAUCUUUUCAAACAUCAGAGAAGGACACUAUAGAAAGAAACAGAGAUGUUUCAGAGACAUGACAGGGUAGAGGUGAGAUUGAUUGCUUUCUCUUGUUUUUUGGGAACUCUUUGGUACCAUGAGUGUCAGAGCUAGGAUCAGAGGCCCUGACUUUGAAGGCAUCUUCCAGAGACAGAUGCUUUAGAGUCUGAACCGCCUGCUUAGUGACCAGCUGAUAUUCUCAAGUUCCAUCGAAACUCUAGCCUUGUAUUUCAGACCUCCAGGAGCAGAUUCUAAAUGGAACACAAUGAGAGAGCACCUCCACAUUUAAGAGUUUGGAGGAACUUUGUUCCCUUGGACUACAGGUGUCCUUAAAAUCUGUCUCCACUUUAAAAACCAGUGAAAAGGAAAGCCCUAGCUGAGGGGAGGAAUCCCAUUGAAUUCUAGUAUUACACAGUCAACCAUAACCAAGAGCUACUUCAGCUGCCAGGAGUAACCUUUCACUCCUAGUCUCCUAACAGCUGUUCUCAUUUGAGCUCCCCUCUGAGCUUAGUAGUUUCUAGUUCUGUGUAUCAAAGCUGUUACUAACAAGUAAUGGCAGCAGUUAGGGAGAAAGGCUAACUAUACUAGGAGGCCCGUAAAACUUUCCACCUUUAGGAGGGAGGAAUCGUGUUACUCUCACAUGUGAAAAUGACAACUGGUGUCCGUAUGAAUUGAAUCAAAAGCAGUUCAAAGUGAACUCCAAAGGCGAAGUUGAGAUCCAUAGAAAAAAACUUUGGUACAGCAGGUUCAAACCAUCAAUUACUUGGACAGCAGCUUCUUUCCAUGUUUACCAGAUGAAUAUCACUAAUAAUAAGAAAAUGACAAAUGAAAACAGUUGUAAAGAUUGAGCUCACAUCCAUCAGAUAAACAAAGAGAACAAAAUGUAGAAACAAUAAAUUACUAGACAGGCACAAUAAUACACUAAUCUUACUGAGAAGACAUCUAAUUUAUCCCUAUUACAAACAAUACUUCUUCUUGGUUUUAAAAAGAGACUAUAAUUUUUUAAAAACCUCUAUUUAUUCCUGUGCUUUCUGGGUUUUUUUUUUCUAGAAAUAGGUGUAUUUUCUCAAGUUUUUUUUGUAUCUAUUGAGAUAAUCACAUGAUUUUUGUUACUUUUGUUAUUAAUAUGAUCAUUUAUGCUAAAAGUUUUCCCAAUAUUGAAUAAGCCUUACAUUCUUGAUAUAAAUCCAACCUGAUAAUAUAUGAAGUUUCUGAAAUAUUGCUAUAAUCUCCUCACUAGUAUUUUAUUUAAAAUUUUUGAAUCAAUACUCAAUAGGAAGGUAUGAGCAACAUAUUUCUGUAGUAAAAUGAAAUUUGGUAGGAUAACUUCUUUGCCUAUUUUUCCAAAGAGUUUAAAUAGUAUUAGAAUUAAUUCUUUUUUAAAAUGAUUGUUAGAAUACACAUAUGAAUCAAAUUGUUCCUAAGGACUUUUUAUGUGCCCAUUGAUGGCAUGUUAAAAUUUCUUUGUCUAACAUAGAGUUAUUUAAGAAUUCCAUUUCCCAUUCUGUUAAUUUGGGCAAUUUUAUAUUUAUUGGGUCAAUUUUUAACUUCUAAUUUUAUCAAUCCUUUGUUUUUUUAAGAUUUCUAUAAUAACAUUUAAUAAAAAGUUUUUUUUUAAUAAUCUUUUUCUGUUUUCUUUUUAACUAUAAGCCCAAUUCAUUGUUCUGCUUUUUUCUUUUUUAUUAUUAUAAGCAUUUAGAGAUAUAAUUAUUUUCCUAAGGAAAAUAAAUAUUUUCCUAUUUUUCCAACUUUGGCUACAUUCCAGAAAUUUUGGUACAUUGUCUCAUUGUUAUUACUAUUCUUUAAUGAAUUUAUUGGUUCUAUGGUCCACCCAAUUUUUAGGACUUUUGUGUUUCCAAUUGAUGUUUAACCUAGGCUUCCAAAGGUCUUUAUUGAACAAAAUGUUUACUAUUUUAUGGUACCAAAAGAGUACAUAUGCCAUUUCUGAUUUUCUGUAGUUUAGUGAGGUUUUUAUGCCUUCUAUGGUAAGUUUCUUGAGGAUAACUAUAUGUAGCUUCUAUAUUCCCAAUCAGUUUUCUCCAGAGGUCUAUGAAAUCUAACUUUUCUAAUAUUCUAUUCAUCUCCUUAACUUGUUUCUUAUUUAUUUUAUUGCUAGAUGUAAUUAGUUCUAAGUGGUAAACUGAGGUUCCCCACUAGUAAACUUAUAAUAUUUCCUCCUCUAACUCAAUAUCCCUUGAGGAUCUAGAAUCUAUUCAAUUUGAUACUUACGUUUUAGUAUUGGUAUUACAUCAUUAUCUAUGAUACCUGUUAAUGAAAUGGAGUUUCCCUGGCUAUCUCAUUUAGUUGGGGAUAUUUUUGUUUUUGCUUCAUUUGAGAUCCUAAUUCUAAUGCCUACCCUACUAAGCUCAUCAGAAGCAAAAUAGAUUCUGCUUUAGCACCUUAUUUUAACUCUUAUGUGUUUUUCUGUUCCAUGUAUGUUUCCUGUAAACAACAUAUUUGUUGGAUUCUCUUAUCUUAAUUUAUUAUGUUUUCUGCUUCCAUUUUAUGGCUGAGUUCAUCCCAUUCCCAGUUAUGAUCAAUAACUAUUACCCUACAUCCUAUUUUUUAUCAUACUCUUUUUAAAAUUCUAUCCCUCUUCUAAACUCUAUUCUGCUUCUUAGAACUACCUCCUUUAAUGCCAUCAAAGCAAAGCUGCAGGAGGAACUUUUGCUUCCUUAUAGUGGCAAGUGCAUGUCUUCUCCCUGGAGCUACAACAGGGACUUCUGGUUACUUGUGAUGGCAAGUGCUCCUCUUCACCCUGUCGCUAUAGCAGGGAAUUCUGGUUAGGUGUGAUGGGACUGCUCUUAUUUACCCCUGGAACAGCAGCAGGGACUUCUCGUAACUUUUGAUGGCAACUGCACCUCUUCACCCUCGAGUGGCAUCAGAAAAUUCUGGUUACUUGUGAUGGCAAGUUUUCCUCUUCACCCUGGAGCAAUAGCCGGGACGUCGAGUAAAGUGUGAUGGCAAGUGUUCCUCUUCACCCUGUCACUAUAGCAGGGAAUUCUGGUUACGUGUGAUGGGACUGCUCUUAUUUACCCCUGGAACAGCAGCAGGGACUUCUCGUAAUUUUUGAUGGCACCUCUUCACCCUCGAGUGGCAUCAGGAAAUUCUGGUUACUUGUGAUGGCAAGUUUUCCUCUUCACCCUGGAGCAAUGGCCGGGACUUCGAGUAAAGUGUGAUGGCAAGUGUUCCUCUUCACCCUGGACCUGCAGCAGGAACUUCAAGUAAUUUGUGAUGGCAACUGUUGUUCUUCACCCUGGAGCUGCAGGAGGGACUUCUGCUUACUUGUGAUGGCAAGUGUUCGUCUUCACCCUGGAGCUGCUACAGGGACUUCUGGUUACUUGUGGUGAAAUGUGUACCUCUUCAGCCAGGAGCUGCAGCAGGGACUUCUGGUAACUUGGGAUCACAAGUGUUCCUCUUCACCCUGGAGCUACAGCAGGGACUUCUGGUUACUUGUGAUGACAAGUGUUCGUCUUCACCCUGGAGCUGCAGCAGGAACUGCUGGUAUCUUGUGAUGGCAAGUAUUCCUCUUCACACUGGAGCGUCAGCAGGGACUUCUGGCACCUUGUAAUGGCAACUAUUGUUCUUCACCCUGGAGCAGCAGCAGGGACUUCUGGUAACUUGUGAUGGCAAGUGUUCCUCUUCACCUUGGAGCAGCAGCAGGGACUUCUGGCAACUUGUAAUGGCAACUAUUGUUCUUCACCCUGGAGCAGCAACAGGGACUUCUGGUAACUUCUGAUGGCAAGUGUUCCUCUUCACCUAGGAGCAGCAGCAGGGACUUCUGGGUCCUUGUGGUCACAAGUGUUCCUCUUCACCCUGGAGCAGCAGCAGGGACUUCUGGCAAAUUGUGAGGGCAACUGUUGUUCUUCACCCUGGAGUAGCAGCAGGGACUUCUGGUAACUUGUGAUGGCAACUGUUCCUCUUCACCCUGGAGCUGCAGCAGGAACUUCUGGUAUCUUGUGAUGGCAAGUAUUCCUCUUCACACUGGAGCGUCAGCAGGGACUUCUGGCACCUUGUAAUGGCAACUAUUGUUCUUCACCCUGGAGCAGCAGCAGGGACUUCUGGUAACUUGUGAUGGCAAGUGUUCCUCUUCACCUUGGAGCAGCAGCAGGGACUUCUGGCAACUUGUAAUGGCAACUAUUGUUCUUCACCCUGGAGCAGCAGCAGGGACUUCUGGUAACUUGUGAUGGCAAGUGUUGCUCUUCACCUAGGAGCAGCAGCAGGGACUUCUGGGUCCUUGUGGUCACAAGUGUUCCUCUUCACCCUGGAGCGGCAGCAGGGACUUCUGGCAAAUUGUGAGGGCAACUGUUGUUCUUCACCCUGGAGUAGCAGCAGGGACUUCUGGUAACUUGUGAUGGCAACUGUUCCUCUUCACCCUGGAGAUGCAGCAGGGACUCCUGGUAACUUGUGAUGGCAAGUGUUCCUCUUCACCCUGGAGCAGCAGCAGGGACUUCUGGUAACUUGUGAUGGCAAGUAUUCCUCUUCACCCUGGAGCGUCAGCAGGGACUUCUGGUUACUUGUCAUCACAAGUGUUCCUCUUCACCCUGGAGCAGCAGCAGGGACUUCUGGCAACUUGUGAUGGCAACUGUUGUUCUUCACCCUAGAGCAGCAGGAGGGACUUGUGGUUACUUUUGGAGGCAAGUGCUUUUCUUCACACUGGACCUGCAGCUGUGAUGUCCAGUUAUUGGUGAUAGUAAGUGUUCUUCUUCAAAUGGGUACUGCAGCUUGGACCUCUGCUUGGUUGUGAUGGCAAAGGCCUCUCUCCAUCUUGGAGCUGCAGCUGAGACAGCUGCUUGGUUGUGAUGGAAAAGUUGUCUCUGCAUCCUGGAACUGCAGCUGAGACCUCUGCUUUCUUCUGAUAGCAAAGGCCUCUCUCCACCACUGAGCUGUAGCUGAGACCUCUGCUUUGUUUUGAUAGAAAAGGCCUCUCUCCCUCCCUAAUCUGCAGCUGGGUCCACUGCAUUUUUAUUGGGGUAAUUGGUCUUCAUCACCCGGUAGCUACAGGAAAGAUUUCUGGUAACUUUUGAUGGCAAAUGGUCCUAUUCACCCUGGAGCUACAGCAGGGACUUCUGGCAACUUAUGAUGACAAGUCUUGCUCUUCAACCUGGAGCGGCAGCAGGGACUUCUGGGUACUUGUGGUAACAAGUGUUCCUCUUCACCCUGGAGCUACAGCAGGGACUUCUGGAUACUUUUGAUGACAAGUGUUCCUCUUCACCCUGGAGCUGCAGCAGGAACUUCUGGUAUCUUGUGAUGGCAAGUAUUCCUCUUCACACUGGAGCGUCAGCAGGGACUUCUAGUUGCUUGUGGUCACAAGUGUUCCUCUUCACCCUGGAGCAACAGCAGGGACUUCUGGCAACUUGUAAUGGGAACUGUUGUUCUUCACCCUGGAGCAGCAGCAGGGACUUUGGGGUACUUGUGGUCACAAGUGUUCCGCUUCACCCUGGAGCAGCAGCAGGGACUUCUGGCAACUUGUGAUGGCAACUUUUGUUCUUCACCCUGGAGUAGCAGCAGGGACUUCGGGGUACUUGUGGUCACAAGUGUUCCCUUUACCCUGGAGCUACAGCAGGGACUUCUGGUUACUUGUGAUGACAAGUGUUCGUCUUCACCCUGGAGAUGCAGCAGGAACUUCUGGUCAUUUGUGGUGUCAAGUUCUUUUUGUCACACUGGACAUACAGCUGGGACGUCUAAUUAUUGGUGAUAGGAAGUGUUCUUCUUCAAACAGGAGCUGCAGCUUGGACUUCUGCUUAGUGUUGAUGGCAAAGGCCUCUCUCCAUCUUGGAGCUGAAGCUGAGACAGCUUCUUGGUUGUGAUGGCAAAAGCCUCUCUCCACCCCGGAGCUGUAGCUGAAACCUCUGCUUUAUUUUGAUAGAAAAGGCCUCUCUCCACCCCUAAUCUGCAGCUGCGUCCUCUGCAUUUUUCUUGGGGUAAUUGGUCUUCUUCACCCAGUAGCUACAGGAAAGAUUGCUGGUAACUUUUGAUGGCAAAUGUUCCUAUUCACCCUGGAGCUGCAGCAGGAACAUCUGGUAAAUUGUGAUGGCAAGUGUUCCUCUUCAUCCUGGAGCUGCAACAGGGACAUACGGUAAGUUUGAUGGCAAGUAUUGCUCUUCACCCUGGAACGUCACCAGGGAUUUCUGGUUACUUGUCGUCACAAGUGUUCCUCUUCACCCUGGAGCAGCAGCAGGGACUUCUGGGUACAUUUGGUCACAAGUGUUCCUCUUCACCCUGGAGCAGCAGCAGGGACUUCUGGUAACUUGGGAUCACAAGUGUUCCUCUUCACCCUGGAGCUGAAACAGGGACUUCUGGUUACUUUUGAUGACAAGUGUUCGUCUUCACCCUGGAGCUGCAGCAGGAACUUCUGGUAUCUUGUGAUGCCAAGUAUUCCUCUUCACACUGGAGCGUCAGCAGGGACUUCUGGCAACUUGUAAUGGCAACUAUUGUUCUUCACCCUGGAGCAGCAGCAGGGACUUCUGUUAACUUGUGAUGGCAAGUGUUCCUCUUCACCUAGGAGCAGCACCAGGGACUUCUGGGUCCUUGUGGUCACAAGUGUUCCUCUUCACCCUGGAGCAGCAGCAGGGACUUCUGGCAACUUGUGAGGGCAACUGUUGUUCUUCACCCUGGAGUAGCAGCAGGGACUUCUGGUAAUUUGUGAUGGCAACUGUUCCUCUUCACCCUGGAGAUGCAGCAGGGACUCCUGGUAACUGGUGAUGGCAAGUGUUCCUCUUCACCCUGGAGCAGCAGCAGGGACUUCUGGGUAUUUGUGGUCAAAAGUUUUCCCCUUCACCCUGGAGCAGCAGCAGGGACUUCUUGCAACUUGUGAUGGCAACUGUUGUUCUUCACCCUAGAGCAGCAGGAGGGACUUCUGGUUACUUUUGGAGGCAAGUGCUUUUUUUCACACUGGACCUGCAGCUGUGAGGUCCACUUAUUGGUGAUAGGAAGUGUUCUUCUUCAAACGGGAGCUGCAGCUUGGACCUCUGCUUGGUUGUGAUGGCAAAGGCCUCUCUCCACCCCUAAGCUGCAGUUGGGACGUCUGCGUAGUUGUGAUGGCAAAGGCCUCAUUCUAUCCUGGAGCGGUAUAUGACACCUCUGCUAGGUUGUGAUAGCAAAGACCUCUGUCCAACCCAGAGCUGCAACUGAGACCUCUGAUUUGUUGUGAUAUCAAAGGCCUCUCUCCACCACUAAUCUGCAGCUAUGUCUUCUGCAUUUUUCUUAGGGAAAUUGGUCUUCUUCACCCAGUAUCUUCAGGAAAGAUUUCUGGCAACAUUUCAUGGCACUUGGACCUCUUCACCUUGGAGCAACAGCAGGGACUUUAGUCAACUUGUAAUGGAAACUGUUAUUCUUCACCCUAGAGGAGCAGCAGGGACUUCUGGUAAUUUGUGAUCACAAGUGUUCCUCUUCACCCUGGAGCUACAGCAGGGACUUCUGGUAACUUGUGAUCACAAGUGUUCCUCUUCACCCUGGAGCUACAGCAGGGACUUCUGGUAACUUGUGAUGGCAAGUGUUCCUCUUCACCUUGGAGCAGCAGCAUGUACAUCAGGCAACUUGUAAUGGCAACUGUUGUUCUUCACCCUGGAGCAGCAGCAGGGACUUCUGGGUACUUGUGGUCACAAGUGUUCCUCUUCACGCUGGAGCUACAGCAGGGACUUCUGGGUACUUGUGAUCACAAGUGUUCCUCUUUACGCUGGAGCUACAGCAGGGACUUCUGGUAACUUGUAAUGGCAACUGUUGCUCUUCACCCUGGAGCGUCAGCAGGAACUUCUGUUUACUUGUCGCCACAAGUGUUCUUCACCCUGGAGCAGCCGCAGGGACUUCUGGCAAAUUGUGAUGGGAACUGGUGUUCUUCACCCUAGAGCAGGAGGAGGGACUUCUGGUUACUUGUGGAGGCAAGUUCUUUUCUUCACACUGGACCUGCAGAUGUAAUGUUCAGUUAUUGGUGAUAGGAAGUGUUCAUCUUCAAGCGGGAGGUGCAGCUUGUACUUCUGCUUGGUUGUGAUGGCAAAGGCCUCUUUCCACCCCUAAGCUGCAGUUGGGACGUCUGCGUAGUUGUGAUGGCAAAGGCCUCGUUCUAUCUUGGAGCGGUAUAUGAGACCUCUGCUAGGGUGUGAUAGCAAAGACCUCUGUCCAACCCAGCGCUGCAACAGAGACCUCUGAUUUGUUGUGAUAUCAAAGGCCUCUCUCCACCCCUAAGCUGCAGCUGUGUCUUCUGCAUUUUUCUUAGCAAAAUUGGUCUUCUUCACCUACUAGCUUCAAGAAAGAUUUCUGGCAACAUUUCAUGGCACGUGGUCCUCUUCACCUUGUAGCAGCAGCAGGGACUUUAGUCAACUUGUAAUGGAAACUGUUAUUCUUCACCCUGGAGCAGCAGCAGGGACUUCUGGUACUUGUGGUCACAAGUGUUCCUCUUCACCCUGGAGCUACAGCAGGGACUUCUGGUAACUUGUAAUGGCAACUGUUGUUCUUCACCCUGGAGCAGCAGCAGGGACUUCUGGGUACUUGUGGUCACAAGUGUUCCUCUUCACCCUGGAGCCUCAGCAGGAACUUCUGGUUACUUGUCACCACAAGUGUUCUUCACCCUGGAGCAGCCGCAGGGACUUGUGGCAAAUUGUGAUGGCAACUGGUGUUCUUCACCCUAGAGCAGGAGGAGGGACUUCUGGUUACUUGUGGAGGCAAGUUCUUUUCUUCACAUUGGACCUGCAGCUGUGAUGUUCAGUUAUUGGUGAUAGGAAGUGUUCUUCUUCAAACGGGAGGUACAGCUUGUACUUCUGCUUGGUUUUGAUGGCAAAGGCCUCUUUCCAACCCUAAGUUCCAUUUGGGACGUCUGCGUAGUUGUGAUGGCAAAGGCCUCGUUCUGUCCAGGAGCGGUAUAUGAGACCUCUGCUAGGGUGUGAUAGCAGAGACCUCUGUCCAACCCAGCGCUGCAACUGAGACCUCUGAUUUGUUGUGAUAUCAAAGGCCUCUCUCCACCCCUAAGCUGCAGCUGUGUCUUCUGCAUUUUUCUUAGGGAAAUUGGUCUUCUUCACCCACUAGCUUCAGUAAAGAUUUCUGGUAACAUUUCAUAGCACCUGGUCCUCUUCACCUUGGAGCAGCAGCAAGGACUAUAGUCAACUUGUAAUGGCAACUGUUAUUCUUCACCCUACAGCAGCAGCAGGGACUUCUGGCAACUUGUGAUGGCAACUGUUAUUCUUCACCCUACAGCAGCAGCAGGGACUUCUGGUAACUUGUGAGCGCAAGUGUUCCUCUUCACCCUGGAGCUACAGCAGGGACUUCUGGUAACUUGUGAUGGCAAGUGUUGCUCUUCACCCUGGAGCUGCAGCAGGGACUUCUGGGAACUUGUGAUGGCAAGUGUUGCUCUUCACCCUGGAGCUGCAGCAGGGACUUCUGGUAACUUGUGACGGCAACUGUUCCUCUUCACCCUGGAGCUACAGCAGGGACUUCUGGUAACUUGUGAUGGCAAGUGUUGCACUUCACCCUGGAGCUGCAGCAGGGACAUCUGGUAACAUGUGAUGGCAAGUAUUCCUCUUCACCCUGGAGCGUCAGUAGGGACUUCUGGUUACUUGUCAUCACAAGUGUUCCUCUUCACCCUGGAGCAGCAGCAGGGACUUCUGGCAACUGGUGAUGGCAACUGUUGUUCUUCACCCUAGAGCAGCAGGAGGGACUUCUGGUUACUUUUGGAGGCAAGUACUUUUCUUUACACUGGACCCGCAGCUAUGAUGUCCAUUUAUUGGUGAUAGUAAGUGUUCUUCUUCAAACGGGAGCUGCAGCUUGGACCUCUGCUUGGUUGUGAUGGCAAAGGCCUCUCUCCACCCCUAAGCUGCAGUUGGGACGUCUCAGUAGUUGUGAUGGCAAAGGCCUCAUUCUUUCCUAGAGCAGCAAAUGAGACCUAUGCUAGGUUGUGAUAGCAAAGACCUCUGUCCAACCCAGAGCUGCAACUGAGACCUCUGAUUUGUUGUGAUAUCAAAGGUCUCUCUCCACCCCUAACCUGCAGCUAUUUCUUCUGCAUUUUUCUUAGGGAAAUUGGUCUUCUUCACCCAGUAACUUCAGGAAAGAUUUCUGGCAACAUUUCAUGGCACGUGGUCCUCUUCACCUUGGAGCAGCAGCAGGGACUUUAGUCAACUUGUAAUGGAAACUGUUAUUCUUCACCCUGGAGCUGCAGCAGGGACUUCUGGGUACUUGUGGUCACAAGUGUUCCUCUUCACCCUGGAGCAGCAGCAGGGACUUCUGGAUACUUUUGAUGACAAGUGUUCCUCUUCACCCUGGAGCUGCAGCAGGGACUUCUGGUAACUUGUGAUGGCAAGUGUUGCCCUUCACCCUGGAGCUGCAGCAGGGACAUCAGGCAACGUGUAAUGGCAACUGUUGUUCUUCACCCUGGAGCAGCAGCAGGGACUUCUGGUAAGUUGUGAUAGCAAGUGUUACUCUUCACCCUGGAGCAGCAGCAGGGACUUCUGGGUACUUGUGGUCACAGAUGUUCCUCUUCACCCUGGAACUACAGCAGGGACUUCUUGUAACGUGUGAUGGCAAGUAUUCCUCUUCACCCUGGAGCGUCAGUAGGGACUUCUGGUUACUUGUCAUCACAAGUGUUCCUCUUCACCCUGGAGCAGCAGCAGGGACUUCUGGCAACUGGUGAUGGCAACUGUUGUUCUUCACCCUGGAGCAGGAGCAGGGAAUUCUGGGUUCUUGUGGUGGCAAGUUCUUUUUGUCACACUGGACAUGGAGCUGGGAUGUCGAGUUAUUGGUGAUAGGAAGUGUUCUUCUUCAAAUGGGAGUUGCUGCUUGGACCUCUCCUUAGUGUGAUGGCAAAGGCCUCUCUCCAUCUUGGAACUGCAGCUAAGACCUCUGCUUUCUUCUGAUGGCAAAGGCCUCUCUCCUCCCUGGAGCUGUAGCUGAGACGUCUUUUGUUUUAAUAGCAAAGGCCUCUCUCCAACCCCUAAUCUGCAGCUGCGUCCUCUGCAAUUUUCUUGGGGUAAUUCGUCUUCUUCACCAAGUAGCUACAGGAAAGAUAUCUGGUAACUUUUGAUUUCAAAUGGUCCUAUUCACCCUAGAGCUACAGCAGGGAUUUCUGGUUACUUGUGGUCACAAAUGUUCCUCUUCACCCUGGAGCAGCAACAGGGACUUCUGGUAACUUGUGAUCACAAGUGUUCCUCUUCACCCUGGAGCUACAGCAGGGACUUUUGGUAACUUGUGAUGGCAAGUGUUCCUCUUCACCUUGGAGCAGCAGCAGGGACUUCAGGCAACUUGUAAUGGCAACUGUUGUUCUUCACCCUGGAGCAGCAGCAGGGACUUCUGUUUACUUGUGGUCACAAGUGUUCCUCUUCAACCUGGAGCUACAGCAGGGACUUCUGGCAACCUGUGAUGGCAAAGGUUGCUCUUCACCCUGGAGCUGCAGCAGGGACUUCUAGUAACUUGUAAUGGCAAGUAUUCCUCUUCACCCUGUAGCGUCAGCUGGGACUUCUGGCAACUUAUGAUGGCAAAUGUUGUUUUUCACCCUGGAGCAGCAGGAGGGACUUCUCAUUACUUGUGGAGGCAAGUUCUUUUCUUCACACUGGACCUGCAGCUGGGACAUCUACUUAUUGGUGAUAGGAAGUGUUCUUCUUCAAACGGGAGGUGCAGCUUGGACUUCUGCUUAGUUGUGAUGGCAAAGGCCUCUCUCCAUCUUGGAGCUGCAGCUGAGACAGCUUCUUGGUUGUGAUGGCAAAGGUGUCUCUACUUCCUAGAACUGCAGCUGAGACCUGUGCUUAGUUGUGAUGGCAAAGGCCUCUCUCCACCCCUAAGCUGCAGUUGAGACGUCUGCGUAGUUGUGAUGGCAAAGGCCUCGUUCUAUCCUGAAAUGGUAAAUGAGACCUCUGCUAGGUUGCGAUAGCAAAGACCUCUGUCCAACCCAGAGCUGCAACUGAGACCUCUGAUUUGUUAUGAUAUCAAAGCCUUCUCUCUCCACCCCUAAGCUACAGCUGUAUCUUCUGCAUUUUUCUUAGGGAAUUUGGUCUUCUUCACCCACUAGCUUCAGGAAAGAUUUCUAGUAACCUUUCAUGGCACGUGGUCCUCUUCACCUUGGAGCAGCAGCAGGGACUUCAGGCAACUUGUAAUGGAAACUGUUGUUCUUCACGCUGAAGCAGCAGGAGGGACUUCUGGUAACUUGUGAUCACAAGUGUUCCUCUUCACCCUGGACCUACAGCUGUGACUUCUGGUACCUUGUGAUGGCAAGUGUUCCUCUUCACCUGGGAGCAGCAGCAGGUACUUCAGGCAACUUGUAAUGGCAACUGUUGUUCUUCACCCUGGAGCAGCAGCAGGGAUUUCUGGGUACUUGUGGUCACAAGUCAUCCUCUUCGCCUUGGAGCAGCAGCAGGGACUUCUGGUAACUUGUGAUCACAAGUGUUCCUCUUCACCCUGGAGCUACAUCAGGGACUUCUGGUAACUUGUGAUGGCAAGUGUUCCUCCUCACCUUGGAGCAGCAGCAGGGACUUCAGGCAAUUUGUAAUGGUAACUGUUGUUCUUCACCCUGGAGCAGCAGCAGGGACUUCUGGUUACUUGUGAUGACAACUGUUGUUCUUCACCCUGGAGUAGCAGCAGGGACUUCUGCUUACAUGUUAUGUUAACUGUUGUUCUUCACCCUGGAGCAGUACCAGGGACUUCUGGUUACUUGUGGUGGCAAGAUCUUUUUGUCACACUGGACAUGCAACUGGGACGUAUAGUUAUGGGGAAUAUGAAGUGUUUUUCUUCAAACGGGAGGUGCAGCUUGGACUUCUGCUUAGUUGUGAUAGCAAAGGCCUACAUCCAUCCUUAAGCUGCAGCUGGGACAUCUAUGUAGUUGUGAUGGAAAACGCCUCUCUCCAUCUUGGAGCUGCAGCUGAGAUCUCUGCUUUGUUUUGAUAGAAAAGGCCUCUCUCCACCCUUAAUCUGCAGCUGCGUCCUCUGCAUUUUUCUUGGGGUAAUUGGUCUUCUUCACCCAGUAGCUACAGGAAAGAUUUCUGGUAACCUUUGAUGGCAAGUGUUGCUCUUCACCCUGGAGCUGCAGCAGGGACAUCUGGUAACUUGUGAUGGCAAGUAUCCCUCUUCAACCUAGAGCGUCAGCAGGGACUUCUGGUUACUUGUCGUCACAAGUGUUCCUCUUCACCCUGGAGCAGUAGCAGGGGCUUCUGGCAAAUUGUGAUGGCAACAGUUGUUCUUCACUCUGGAGCAGCAGGAGGGACUUCUCGAUACUUGUGGAGGCAAGUUCUUUUCUUUACACUGGACCUGCAGCUGUGAUGUCCAGUUAUUGGUGAUAGGAAGGGUUCUUCUUCAAACAGGGGCUGCAGCUUGGACCUCUGCUUUGUUGUGAUGGCAAAGGCCUCUCUCCACCCCUAAGCUGCAGCUGCGUCUUCUGCAUUUUUGUUAGGGAAUUUGGUCGUCUUCACCUAGUAGCUUCCGGUAAGAUUUCUAGUAACAUUUCAUGGCAGGUGGUCUUCUUCACCUUGGAGCAGCAGCAGGGACUUCAGGGAACUUGUAAUGGAAACUGUUGUUCUUCACCCUGGAGGUACAGCAGGGACUUCUGGGUACUUAUGGUCACAAGUGUUCGUCUUUACCCUGGACCUGCAGCAGGAACUUCUGGUAACAUGUGAUGACAAGUAUUCCUCUUCACCCUAGAGCGUCAGCAGGGAAUUCUGGUUACUUGUGGUCACAAGUGUUCCUCUUCACCCUGCAGCAGCAGCAGGGACUUCUGGGUACUUGUGGUCACAAGUGUUCCUCUUCACCCUGCAGCAGCAGCAGGGACUUCUGGGUACUUUUGCUCACAAGUGUUCCUCUUCACCCUGGAGCUACAGCAGGGACUUCUGAUUACUUGUGAUGACAAAUGUUCGUCUUCACCCUGGAGCUGCAGCAGGGACUUCUGGUAACUUUUGAUGGCAACAGUUGUUCUUCACCCUGGAGCAGCAGGAGGGACUUCUCGAUACUUGUGGAGGCAAGUUCUUUUCUUUACACUGGACCUGCAGCUGUGAUGUCCAGUUAUUGGUGAUAGGAAGGGUUCUUCUUCAAACAGGAGCUGCAGCUUGGACCUCUGCUUGGUUGUGAUGGCAAAGGCCUCUCUCCACCCCUAAGCUGCAGCUGCGUCUUCUGCAUUUUUCUUAGGGAAUUUGGUCAUAUUCACCUAGUAGCUUCCGGUAAGAUUUCUAGUAACAUUUCAUGGCAGGUGGUCUUCUUCACCUUGGAGCAGCAGCAGGGACUUCAGGGAACUUGUAAUGGAAACUGUUGUUCUUCACCCUGGAGCAGCAGCAGGGACUUCUGGGUACUUAUGGUCACAAGUGUUCGUCUUUACCCUGGACCUGCAGCAGGAACUUCUGGUAACAUGUGAUGACAAGUAUUCCUCUUCACCCUAGAGCAUCAGCAGGGAAUUCUGGUUACUUGUGGUCACAAGUGUUCCUCUUCACCCUGCAGCAGCAGCAGGGACUUCUGCGUACUUUUGCUCACAAGUGUUCCUCUUCACCCUGGAGCUACAGCAGGGACUUCUGAUUACUUGUGAUGACAAAUGUUCGUCUUCACCCUGGAGCUGCAGCAGGGACUUCUGGUAACUUUUGAUGGCAAGUGUUCCUCUUCACCUGGGAGCUGCAGGAGGGACUUUUGGUUACUUGUGAUCACAUGUGUUCCUCUUCACCCUGGAGCAACAGCAGGGACUUCUGGCAACUUGUGAUGGUAACUGUUGUUCUUAACCAUGGAGUAGCAACAGGGAUUUCUGGGUACUUGUGGUCACAAGUGUUCCUCUUCACCCUGAAGCAGCAGCAGGGACUUCAGGUUACAUGUUAUGUUAACUAUUGUUCUUCACCCUGGAGUAGCACCAGGGAUUUCUGGCAACUUGUGAUGGCAAAUAUUGUUUUUCACCCUGGAGCAGCAGGAGGGACUUUUGGUUACUUGUGGAGGCAAGUUCUUUUCUUCACACUGGACCUGCAGCUGGGACAUUUAGUUAUUGGUGAUAGGAAGUAUUCUUCAAAUGGGAGGUGCAGCUUGGACCUCUGCUUAGUUGUGAUGGCAAAGGCCUCGUUCUAUCCUGGAGCGGUAAAUGAGACCUCUGCUACGUUGUGAUAGCAAAGACCUCUGUCCAACCCAGAGGUGCAACUGCGACCUCUGAUUUGUUGUGCUAUCAAAGGCCUCUCUCGACCCGUAAGCUGCAGCUGUGUCUUCUGCAUUUUUCUUAGGGAAUUUAGUCUUCAUCACCUAGUAGAUUUAGAAAAGAUUUCAGGGCACAUGGUCCUCUUCACCUUGGAACAGCAGCAGGGACUUUAGUCAACUUGUAAUGGAAACUGUUAUUCUUCACCCUAGAGCAGCAGCAGGGACUUCUGGGUACUUGUGAUGACAAGUGUUCCUCAUCACCUUGGAGCUACCACCGGGACUUCUGCUAACUUCUGAUAGCAAGAGUUCCUCUUCACGUUGGAAAAGCUACAAGGACUUCAGGCAACUUGUAAUGGCAACUAUUGUUCGUCACCCUGGAGCAGCAGCAGGGACUUCUGGGUACUUGUGAUUACAGCUGUUCGACUUCACCCUGGAGCUGCAGCAGGGACUUCUGGUUACUUGUGAUGAUAAGUGUUCGUCUUCACCCUCGAGCAGCAGCAGGGACUUCUGGCAACUUGUGAUGGCAACUGUUGUUCUUCACCAUGGAGUAGCAGCAUGGACUUCUGGUUAUAUGUUAUGUUAACUGUUGUUCUUCACCCUGGAGCAGCACCAGGGAUUUCUGGUUACUUGUGUUGGGAAGUUCUUUUUGUCACACUGGACAUGCAGCUGGGACGUCUAGUUAUUGGUGAUAGGAAGUGUUCUUCUUCAAAGGGGUAACUGCAGCUUCGACCUUUACUUGGUUGGGAUGGCAAAGGCCUCUCUCCACCCCUAAGCUGCAGUUGGGACGUCUGCGUAGUUGUGAUGGCAAAGGCCUCGUUUUGUCCUGGAGCAGUAAAUGAGACCUCUGCUAGGUUGUGAUGGCAAAGACCUCAGUCCAACCAAGAGCUGCAACUGAGACCUUUGAUUUGUUGUGAUAUCAAAGGACUCUCUACACCUCUAAGCUCCAGCUGUGUCUUCUGCAUUUUUCUUAGGGAAUUUGGUCUUCUUCAUCCAGUAGCUUCAGGAAAGAUUUCUGGUAACAUUUCAUGGCACGUGGUCCUCUUCACCUUGGAGCAGCAGCAGGGACUUCAGGCAACUUGUAUUGGCAACUGUUGUUCUUCACCCUGGAGCAGCAGCAGGGACUUCUGGGUACUUGUGGUCACAAGUGUUCCUCUUCACCCUGGAGCUACAGCAGGGACUUCUGGUUACUUGUGAUGACAAUUGUUCGUCUUCACCCUGGAGCAGCAGCAGAGACUUUGGGAUACUUGUGGUCACAAGUGUUCUUCUUCACCCUGGAGCAGCAACAGGGACUUCUGGGUACUUCUGUUCACAAAUGUUCCUCUUCACCCUGGAACUAAUGCACGGACUUCUGGUUACUUGUGAUCAAAAGUGUUUGUCGUCACCCUGGACCAGCAGCAGGGACUUCUGGCAACAUGUGAUGGCAACUGUUGUUCUUCACCCUGGAGCAGCAGCAGGGAUUUCUCGUUACUUGUGAUGGCAAGUGUUCCUCUUCACCCUGGAGCUGCAGCAAGGACUUCUGGUUACUUGUGGUCACAAGUGUUCCUCUUCACCCUGGAGCGGCAGCAGGGACUUCAGGCAACAUGUGAUGGCAACAGUUGUUCUUUGCCCUCGAGCAGUAGCAGGAAUUAGGGGUAUUUAUGGUCGCAAUUAUUCCUCUUCACCCUGGAGCUUAAGAAGGGACUUCUGACAACAUGUGAUGGCAAGUGUUCCUCUUCACCGUGGAGCUGCAGCAGGGACUUCUGGCAAGUUGUGAUGGCAAGUGUUCCUCUUCACCCUGGAGCAGCAGGAGGGACUUCUGGCUACUUGUGUUGACUAGUGUUCCUCUUCACCCUGGAGUGGCAGCAGGGACUUCAGGGUAACUUGUGAUGGCAACAGUUGUUCUUUGCCCUUGAGCAGCAGCAGGGAUUCUGGGUACUUGUGGUCACAAGUAUUCCUCGUCACCCUGGAGAUGCAGCAGGGACUUCUGGUUCCUUGUGGUGGCAAGUUCUUUUCGUCAAACUGGACCUACAGGUGGGACGUCCAGUUAUUGGAGAUAGGAAGUGUUCUUCAAACAGGAGCUACAGCUUGGACCUCUGCUUAGUUGUGAUGGGAAUGGCCUCCUUCCACCCAUAAGCUGCAGCUGGCACAUCUAUGUAGUUGUGAUGGCAAAGGCCUCUCUCAACCCUAAGCUUCAGCUCUGUCCUAUGCAUUUUUCUUAGGGCAAUUGGUCUUCUUCACCCAGUAGUUACAGGAAAGAUUUCUGCUAACAUUUGAUGGCAAGUGGUCCUCUUCAACCUGGAGCAGCAGCAGGGAUUUCUGGUUACUUGUGAUGACAAGUGUUUCUCUUCACCCUGUAGCGGCUUCAGGGACUUCUGGUUACUUGGGGUCACAAGUGUUCCUCUUCACCCUGGAGCAGCAGCAGGGACUUCUGGUAAGUUGACCUGGCAAGUGUUCCUCUAUACGCUGGAGCUGCAGCAGGGACUUCGGGUAAGUUGUGCUGGCAAGUGUUCCUCUUCACCCUAGAGCAGCAGCAGGGACUUCUGGUAAAUUGACCUGGCAAUUGUUCCUCUAUACCCUGGAGCUGCAGCAGGGACUUCUGGUAAGUUGUGCUGGCAAGUGUUCCUUUUCAACCUAGGGCAGCAGCAGGGAUUUCUGGUUACUUGUGAUGACAAGUGUUUCUCUUCACCCUGUAGCGGCAGCAGGGACUUCUGGUUACUUGGGGUCACAAGUGUUCCUCUUCACCCUGGAGCAGCAGCAGGGACCUCUGGGUACUUGUGGUCACAACUUUUCCUCUUCACCCUGGAGCUACAGCAGGGCCUUCUGGUAACUUUUGAUGGCAAGUUGUUCCUCUUCACCUUGGAGCUGCAGGAGGGACUUUUGGUUACUUGUGAUCACAAGUGUUCCUCUUCACCCUGGAGGUACAGCAGGGACUUCUGAUUACUUGUGAUGGCAACUGUUGUUCUUCACCAUGGAGUAGCAGCAGGGAUUUCUGGGUACUUGUGGUCACAAGUGUUCCUCUUCACCCUGAAGCAGCAGCAGGGACUUCUGGCAACUUGUGAUGGCAAAUAUUGUUUUUCACCCUGGAGCAGCAGGAGGGACUUCUUGUUACUUGUGGAGGCAAGUUCUUUUCUUCACACUGGACCUGCAGCUGGGACAUUUAGUUAUUGGUGAUAGGAAGUGUUCUUCAAACAGGAGGUGCAGCUUGGACCUCUGCUUAGUUGUGAUGGCAAAGACCUCUCUCCACCCCUAAGCUGGAGUUGGGAAGUCUGCGUAGUUGUGAUGGCAAAGGCCUCGUUCUAUCCUGGAGCGGUAAAUGAGACCUCUGCUAGGUUGUGAUAGCAAAGACCUCUGUCCAACCCAGAGGUGCAACUGCGACCUCUGAUUUGUUGUGCUAUCAAAGGCCUCUCUCCACCCGUAAGCUGCAGAUGUGUCUUCUGCAUUUUUCUUAGGGAAUUUAAUCUUCAUCACCCAGUAGUUUCAGAAAAGAUUUCAGGGCACGUGGUCCUCUUCACCUUGGAGCAGCAGCCGGGACUUCUGGUAACUUGUGAUGGCAAGAGUUCCUCUUCACCUUGGAAAAGCUGCAGGGACUUCAGGCAACUUUUAAUGGCAACUAUUGUUCGUCACCCUGGAGCAGCAGCAGGGACUUCUGGGUACUUGUGAUGACAACUGUUCGUCUUCACCCUGGAGCUGCAGCAGGGAACUCUGGUUACUUGUGAUGACAAGUGUUUGUCUUCACCCUCGAGCAGCAGCAGGGACUUCGGCAAGUUGUGAUGGCAACUGUUGUUCUUCACCCUGGAGCAGCACCAGGGAUUUCUGGUUACUUGUGUUGGCAAGUUCUUUUUCUCACACUGGACAUGCAGCUGGGACGUCUAGUUAUUGGUGAUAGGAAGUGUUCUUCUUCAAAGGGGAGCUGCAGCUUGGACCUUUACUUGGUUGGGAUGGCAAAGGCCUCUCUCCACCCCUAAGCUGCAGUUGGGACGUCUGCGUAGUUGUGAUGGCAAAGGCCUCGUUCUAUCCUGGAGCAGUAAAUGAGACCUCUGCUAGGUUGUGAUAGCAAAGACCUCAGUCCAACCCAGAGCUGCAACUGAGACCUUUGAUUUGUUGUGAUAUCAAAGGCCUCUCUCCACCCCUAAGCUGCAGCUGUGUCUUCUGCAUUUUUCUUAGGGAAUUUGGUCUUCUUCACCCAGUAGCUUCAGGAAAGAUUUCUGGUAACAUUUCAUGGCACGUGGUCCUCUUCCCCCUGGAGCCGCAGCAGGGACUUCUGGUUACUUGUGAUGACAAUUGUUCGUCUUCACCCUGGAGCAGCAGCAGGGACUUCUGGGUACUUCUGUUCACAAGUGUUCCUCUUCACCCUGGAACUACAGCAGGGACUUCUGGUUACUUGUGAUCAAAAGUGUUCGUCGUCAACCUGGACCAACAGCAGGGACUUCUGGCAACAUGUGAUGGCAACUGUUGUUCUUCACCCUGGAGCAGCAGCAGGGAUUUCUCGUUACUUGUGAUGGCAAGUGUUCCUCUUCACCCUGGAGCUGCAGCAGGGACUUUUGGUUACUUGUGGUCAGAAAUGUUCUUCUUCACCCUAGAGCUGCAGCAGGGACUUUUGGUUACUUGUGGUCAGAAGUGUUCCUCUUCACCCUGGAGCGGCAGCAGGGACUUCAGGCAACAUCUGAUGGCAACAGUUGUUCUUCGCCCUCGAGCAGCAGCAGGAAUUAGGGGUACUUAUGUUCGCAAUUAUUCCUCUUCACCCUGGAGCUUAAGAAGGGACUUCUGACAACAUGUGAUGGCAAGUGUUCCUCUUCACCCUGGAGCUGCAACAGGGACUUAUAAUAACUUGUGAUGGGAAGUGUUCCUCUUCACCCUGGAGAUGCAGAAGGGACUUCUGGCAAGUUGUGAUGGCAAGUGUUCCUCUUCACCCUGGAGCGGCAGUAGGGACUUCUGUUAAGUUGUGCUGGCAAGUGUUCCUCUUCAACCUGGAGCAGCAGCAGGGAUUGCUGGUUACUUGUGAUGAAAAGUGUUUCUCUUCACCCUGGAGCAGCAGCAGGGAUUUCUGGCUACUUGUGUUGACUAGUGUUCCUCUUCACCCUGGAGCGGCAGCAGGGACUUCAGGGUAACUUGUGAUGGCAACAGUUGUUCUUCACCCUUGAGCAGCAGCAGGGAUUCUGGGUACUUGUGGUGGCAAAUUCUUUUCGUCACACUGGACCUACAGGUGGGACGUCCAGUUAUUGGAGAUAGGAAGUGUUCCUCAAACGGGAGCUACAGCUUGGACCUCCGCUUAGUUGUGAUGGGAAUGGCCUACUUCCACCCAUAAGCUGCAGCUGGCACUUCUAUGUAGUUGUGAUGGCAAAGGCCUCUCUCAACCCUAAGCUGCAGCUGUGUCCUAUGCAUUUUUUUUAGGGCAAUUGGUCUUCUUCACCCAGUAGUUACAGGAACGAUUUCUGCUAACAUUCCAUGGCAAGUGGUCCUCUUCACCCUGGAGCUCCAGCAGGGACUUCUGCUUACUUGUGAUGACAAGUUUUUCUCUUCACCCAGCAGCGGCAGUAGGGACUUCUGGUUACUUGGGGUCACAAGUGUUCCUCUUCACCCUGGAGCAGCAGCAGGGACUUCUGGUAAGUUGUGCUGGCAAGUAUUCCUCUUCACCCUGGAGCAGCAGCAGGGACUUCUGGUAAGUUGUGUUGGCAAGUGUUCCUUUUCAGCCUAGGGCAGCAGCAGGGAUUUCUGGUUACUUGUGAUGACAAGUGUUUCUCUUCACCCUGUAGCGGCAGCAGGGACUUCUGGUUACUUGGGGUCAUAAGUGUUCCUUGUCACCCCAGAGCAGCAGCAGGCACUUCUGGGUACUUGUGGUCACACGUGGUCUUCUUCACCCUGGAGCUACAGCAAGGAGCUACAACUUUCUGGUAAGUUGUGCUGGCAAGUGUUCCUCUUCACCCUGGAGCUGUAGCAGGGACUUCUGGUAAGUUGUGCUGGCAACUGUUCCUCUUCACCCUGGAGCUGUAGUAGGGACUUCUGGUUACUAGUGGUGGCAAGUUCUUUUUGUCACAAUGGACCUGCAGCUGGGACAUCAAGUUAUUGGUGAUAGGAAGUGUUCUUCUUCAAACGGUUGCUGCAGCUUGGACCUCUGUUUAGUUGUGAUGGCCAAGGGGUCUCUCCACUUCUAAGCUACACUUGGGCCAUCUGCGUAGUUCUGAUGGCAAAGGGCUCAUUCUCUCCUGGAGCGAUAAAUGAGACCUCUACUUUGUUUUGAUAGCAAAGACCUCUCUCCACCCCUAAGCUGCAGCUGCGUCCUCUGCAUUUUUCUUAGGGAAAUUGGUCUUCUUCACCCAGUAGCUACAGGAAAGAUUUCUGGUAACUUUUGAUGGCAAGUGGUCCUGUUCACCCUGUAGCUGCAGCAGGGACUUCUGGUAACUUGUGAUGGCAAGUGGUCCUCUUCACCCUGGAGCUGCUGCAGGGACUUCUGGUAACUUGUGAUGGCAAGUGUUCCUCUUCACCCUGGAGCUGUAGCAGGGACUUCUGGUAACUUGUGAUGGCAAGUGUUCAUCUUCACCCUGGAGCAGCAGCAGGGACUUCUUAUAACUUGUGAUGGCAACUGUUGUUCUUCACCCUGGAGCAGCAUCAAGGACUUCUGUUAACUUGUGAUGGCAAGUGUUACUCUUCACCCUGGAGCAGCAUCAAGGACUUCUGUUAACUUGUGAUGGCAAGUGUUACUCUUCACCCUGGAGCUGCAGCAGGGACUUCUGUUAACUUGUGAUGGCAAGUCUUCCUCUUCACUGUGGAGCAGCAGCAGGGACUUCUGGUUACUUGUGGUGGAAAGUUCUUUUCGUCACACUGGACCUGCAACUGUGACUUACAGUUGUUGGUGAUAGGAAGUGUUAUUCUUCAAAUGGGCGCUGCAGCUUAGACCUCUGCUUAGUUGUGAUGGCAAAGGCCUCCCUCCACCCAUAAGCUGCAGCUGGGACAUCUGUGUAGUUGUGAUUGCAAAGGCCUCUCUCCAUCGUGGAGCUGCAGCUGAGACAGUUUCUUUGUUGUGAUGGCAAAGGCCUCUCUACACCCUAAGCUGCAGCUGCAUCCUCUGCAUUUUUCUUAGGGCAACUGGUCUUCUUCUCCCAGUAGCUGCAGGACAGAUUUCUGGUAACUUUUGAUGGCAAGUGGUCCUCUUCACCCGGGAGCUGCAGCAGGGACUUCUGGUAACUUGUGAUGGCAAAUGUUCAUCUUCACUCUGGAUAAGCAGCAGGGACUUCUUGUAACUUGUGAUGGCAAGUGUUCCUCUUCACCCUGGAACUGCAGAAGGGACUUCUGGUAAGUUGUGCUGGCAAGUAUUCCUCUUCACCCUGGAGCAGCAGCAGGGACUUCUGGUAAGUUAUGCUGGCAAGUGUUCCUCUUCACCCUGGAGCAGCAGCAGGGACUUCUGGUAAGUUGACCUGGCAAGUGUUCCUCUAUACCCUGGAGCUGCAGCAGGGACUUCUGGUAAGUUGUGCUGGCAAGUGUUCCCUUUCACCCUGGAGCAGCAGCAGGGACUUCUGGUUACUUGGCGUCAUAAGUGUUCCUCGUCACCCUAGAACAGCAGCAGGGACUUCUGGGUACUUGUGGUCACACGUGGUCUUCUUCACCCUGGAGCUACAGCAAGGAUUUCUGGUAAGUUGUGCUGACAAGUGUUCCUCUUCACCCUGGAGCAGCAGCAGGGACUUCUGGUUACUUGUGGUGGCAAGUUCUUUUCAUCACACUGGACCUGCCGCUGGGACUUCCAGUUAUUGGUGAUACGAAGUGUUCUUCUUCAAACGGGAGUUGCAGCUUGCACAUCUGCUUAGUUGUGAUGGUAAAGGCCUCUCUCCAUCCCUAAGCUGCAGCUGAGUCCUCUGCAUUUUUCUUAGGGCAAUUGGUCUUCUUCACCCAGUAGCUGCAGGAAAGAUUUCUGGUAACUUUUGAUGGCAAGUGAUCCUCUUCACCCUGCAGCUGCUGCCGGGACUUCUGGUAACUUGUGAUGGCAAGUGUUCAUCUUCACUCUGGAUAAGCAGCAGGGACUUCUUGUAACUUGUGAUGGCAACUGUUGUUCUUCACCCUGGAGCAGCAUCAAGGACUUCUGGUAACUUGUGAUGGCAAGUGUUCCUCUUCACCCUGGAACUGCAGGAGGGACUUCUGGUAACUUUUGAUGGCAAGUGGUCCUGUUCACCCUGUAGCUGCAGCAGGGACUUCUGGUAACUUGUGAUGGCAAGUGGUCCUCUUCACCAAGGAGCUGCAGCAGGGACUUCUGGUAACUUUUGAUGGCAAGUGGUCCUGUUCACCCUGGAGCCGCAGCAGGGACUUCUGUUAACUUGUGUUGGCAAGUGUUCGUCUUCACCCUUGGACAACAGCAGUGACUUCUGGUUACUUGUGAUGACAAGUGUUCCUCUUCACCCUGGAGCAGCAGCAGGGACUUCUGGUUACUUGUGUUAGCAAGUUCUUUUCAUCACACUGGACCUUGCCCUGGGACUUCCAGUUAUUGGUGAUAGGAAGUGUUCCUCUUCAAACGGGAGUUGCAGCUUGCACAUCUGCUUAGUUGUGAUGGCAAAGGCCUCUCUGCAUCCCUAAGCUGCAGCUGCGUCCUCUGCAUUUUUCUUAGGGCAAUUGGUCUUCUUCAACCAGUAGCUGCAGGAAAGAUUUCUGCUAACUUGUGAUGGCAAGUGUUCCUCUUCAUUGUGGAGCAGAAGCAGGGACUUCUGGUAACUUGUGAUGGCAAGUGUUCAUCUUCACCCUAGAGCAGCAGCAGGGACUUCUUGUAACUUGUGAUGGCAACUGCUGUUCUUCACCCUGGAGCAGCAUCAAGGACUUCUGGUAACUUGUGAUGGCAAGUGUUGCUCUUCACCCUGGAGCUGCAGCAGGGACUUCUGGUUACUUGUGGUGGCCAGUUUUCCGCUUCACUGUGGAGCAGCAGCAGGGACUUUUGGUAACUUGUGAUGGCAAUUUCUUUUCGUCACACUGGACCUGCAGCUGGGAUUUCCCGUUAUUUGUUAUGGCAAGUUUUCUUCUUCCAACGGGAGCUGCAGCUUAGAACUCUGCUAGGUUGUGAUGGCAAAGGCCUCUCUCCAUCCUGGAUCUGCAGCUGGUACCUCUGCUUGGUUGUGAUGGCAAAGGCCUCUCUGUAUCCUGGAGCUGUAACUGAGACCUCUACAUGGGUUUGAUGGCAAAGGCCUCUCUCUACCCUGGAGCUUCAGCUGCGUUCUUUCCAUUUUUGUGAUGGCAAUUGGUCUUCACCCAGUAGCUGCAGCUGGGCCUUCUGGUUACUUGUGAUGGCAAGUCUUCCUCUUCUCCCUGGAGCUGCAGCAGGUACUUCUAGUAACUUGUAAUGGCAAUUGUUCUUCUUCACCCUGGAGUAGCAGCAGGGACUUCUGGUUUCUUGUGAUGAUGGGAAGUGUUCUUCAAAUGCAAACUGCAGCUGGGACCUCUGCUUGGUUGUGAUGACAAAGGCCUCUCUCCACCCCAGAGCUGCAGCUGGGACCUCUGCUUCAUUUUGAUGGCAAGUUCUCCUCUUCCCCCUGGAGCAGCAGCAGGGACUUCUGGCUACUUGUGAUGGCAAGUUCUUUUCUUCACCCUGGACCCGCAGCUGGGAAUUCUGGUGACUUGUGAUGCAAAGUGUUUUUCUUCUAACUGGAGCUGCAACUGGGACCUCUGGUUUGUUGUGAUGCCAAAGCCCUCUCUCCGUCCCAUGGCUGCAGCUGGGACCACUACUUGCUUGUGAUGGCAAGUGCUCCUCUUCACCCUGGAGCUUGUUACAGGGAAUUCUAGUUACUUGUGAUGGCAAGUGCUCCUCUUCACCCUGGAGCAGCAUCAGGGACUUCUGGUAACUUGUGGUGGCAACUGUUGUUCUUCACCCUGGAGCAGCAGCAGGGACUUCUGAUUAAUUGUGAUGACAAGUGCUCUUCCUCACCCUGGACCCACAGCUGGGACUUCUGGUUACUUGUGAUGGGAAAGUGGUCUUCUUCAAACUGGAACUGCAGCCGAUACCUCUGCUUUGUUGUAAUGGGAAAGGCCUCUAUGCACCCCUGAGAUGCAGCUGGGACUAUUGCUUUUUUUGUUAUAGCAAGGUCUCUUCACCUAGUAGCUGCAGGGGGGACUUCCUCUUCCUUGUCAUCAUGCUGGCAGGUGCUCCUCUUCACCCUGGAGCAGUAGCAGGGAAUGUGUUUACUUGUGAUAACAAGUGAUCGUCUUCACUCUGGAGCUCCAGGUGUUACCACCAGUUUUUUGUGAUGGCAUUGGCCUCUCUCCCCCUUUGUGUGAAACUGGUAAUGUCUACCGUGCCCACACAGAGCUGCCCCUAAUCACCUUUUUAGCAGUUGUCUAAUACUUGGUUUCUUGGCAGUGAAAACUUUAAGAAAUGUGACAACUAUUCCUGCAGCUAUCACUGUGCCUCCCGUCCUCCAAGAUCCAUAGUAAGUGCCCUUCCCUUUGCCUUCUGAGCCAGUGACCCAAACUUCUCCUCACCUCAAACAUUUUUUUCAGCUGGACAAACUUUUUCUUUGUAUGGCACUUCAGAAUUUGAUUAUUUGAUAUUUUCAAGUUUUUUGGAAAGGCAAGUUGGUAGAGUUCCACUGGAAUGUUCUCUCUGUUCCACCAUCUUGGGGUUUUUUAGGGGGUGCAAGAACUUCCACUCCUGAAACAAAUUAAAACAGUUCCCCAAAAGAGGAGCACUAGGGAAGAUUAGGAGGAAGCAGUGAUCUACUUCCACAAAUUCACCUGAGUAUUCUUUAUCAAUUACACUUGAAGAAUAUGUCUGAGCUGGCCAGCCAUGAUCAUAAUUUAGUAGUGUUUCUUUCAAGAAAUUGUUAAUAUGAUUGAACACUGGAUGCAAUAGCUAGGAAUGCUGGGUUCUAUUCUUGAGUCUUGCUCUUAGCUUUCUGUCAAAGUUUUCCGAGAUGUAAAGGCUUCACUUUAGGGAAAAUGGAAACCCAGAACAACUGGAUUGAAUCUCUGGGGAGUUCAUAGACUGGAAAACGAAAGAGAACUUGCCCAAAUCCAUGAGGCAUUCUCAAGUAAUUUAGAAUUCUAAUGGCACUGGCAGUGUUGAGCAGCAGCAGCAAUGUCCCUUUGUGACCAUGGGCCAUGCUUUCUCUGUAGAUUUGACU
rnacentral:lncRNA from 1 species